rnacentral:rRNA from 1 species
GACGAACGCUGGCGGCGUGCCUAAUACAUGCAAGUUGAGCGAUGAAGAUUGGUGCUUGCACCAAUUUGCAGAGCAGCGAACGGGUGAGUAACGCGUGGGGAAUCUGCCUUUGAGCGGGGGACAACAUUUGGAAACGAAUGCUAAUACCGCAUAACAACUUUAAACAUAAGUUUUAAGUUUGAAAGAUGCAAUUGCAUCACUCAAAGAUGAUCCCGCGUUGUAUUAGCUAGUUGGUGAGGUAAAGGCUCACCAAGGCGAUGAUACAUAGCCGACCUGAGAGGGUGAUCGGCCACAUUGGGACUGGGACACGGCCCAAACUCCUACGGGAGGCAGCAGUAGGGAAUCUUCGGCAAUGGACGAAAGGCUGACCGAGCAACGCCGCGGGAGGGAAGAAGGGUGUCGGAUCGUAAAACUCUGUUGGUAGAGAAGAACGUUGGUGAGAGUGGAAAGCUCAUCAAGUGACGGUAACUACCCAGAAAGGGACGGCUAACUACGUG